rnacentral:rRNA from 1 species
AUUGAACGCUGGCGGCAUGCUUUACACAUGCAAGUCGAACGGUAACAGGCCUUCGGGUGCUGACGAGUGGCGAACGGGUGAGUAAUGCAUCGGCACGUACCCAGAGGUGGGGGAUAACGCAGCGCAAGCUGUGCUAAUACCGCAUGUGAUCUGAGGAUGAAAGCGGGGGACCGAGCAGCAAUGUUUGGCCUCGCGCCUUUGGAGCGGCCGAUGUCGGAUUAGCUAGUUGGUGAGGUAAAGGCCUACCAAGGCGACGAUGCGUAACUGGUCUGAGAGGGUGAUCGGGCACACUGGAACUGAGACACGGGCCAGAGUCCUACGGGAGGCAGCAGUAGGGAAGCUUCCGCAAGGGGCGAAAGCCUGACGGAGCAACGCCGCGUGAGUGAUGAAGGUCUUCGGAUCGUAAAACUCUGUUAUUAGGGAAGAACAAAUGUGUAAGUAACUAUGCACGUCUUGACGGUACCUAAUCAGAAAGCCACGGCUAAGUACGUG